AGGGAUGGGGAAGGUGAAGGAAAAAGAAGAGUAAAAAUGUCCCUUCGUUUUCAGUGUUGGCUGGAUGACUGAUGGAACAGUGCCUGGGCUAGGAAACACAGGUGUCAGGAGAAGAGAAUGAGCUCUGCAAGCUAUUUGGCAUAUGAAGGUCCUGACCUGAGAAAACCAUCUUGGAUAACCACGCAAGGAGAGGGAAAAAUGCAACACCUAGGAGAUUUCAGUAAACAGUAGAAUCAUGCCAACCUAAUCUGUGUUAAAAUGCUUGGAAUGUGGGAGCCGCCGAUGAUGCCUGUUGUCUGUGUGUCUGACUGAAUCCUUUCUUUUCUCAGAGCAGCAAAGCCAAGCCUGGGAACCAGGCCAAAUGCCUGCCACUUACCUUAAAUUGAUCAGCCACUUUGAGAUUAAAACCCCUGAAAGCUGCCACACCGUGAAAACAAGGCCUCCUUCACAUUAAAGGCAAAUGGCGACUUUGGGUUUGCUGUGAUCUUUUUUCCAUUUUAUCCAGUUUUUCACUGCGCACACUUUUUUUUUUCUCUUUUCCAUUUAUGCUCCAAUGUAGAAGCCAAUAGUUACAGCAUCUUGGCCAGGCAUUCAUUAAGGUUUAUAAGAACAAAAUUUAUGGUUAUUUAGGAGCCGGUACAAAGACAGACUGUUGCUGGAAAAAGUAAAAGAAAUACAGGUGGGAAAUAUAAGUCUCAACAAAGGCCCAUACUAUAGAGGAGGGUGCUGGGCGCUCAGAUCUUGGAGGAGAAUUAGACUGUAUUUUAAACCAGCUUCUCCUCUGUUCUGAGUCGUC
ensembl:lincRNA